AAUUAGUUUAGGAUGUGGAAGACGCUUCUCACAAUCCAAAUUCCUCCUUAGUUCUAGUUUGAUUAGGAAACGUUCGCUAAUCAAACACUAGUUAACAAGUUGCCAAGGAACGUCCUUGGAGCUUUUAGCAUCGAACAACUGUUAACUGCAUUAAGACUUAGAGAAACCUAAUUCUAACCUUGCCAACCGCGUGGUCAAGUUUAGAUUAUGCAACUUGAUUAAAUGUGUGUUUAAAUAAUCUAAGCAAUUACGGA
rnacentral:lncRNA from 1 species